rnacentral:rRNA from 1 species
UCGGGAAUUUUGGGCAAUGGGCGAAAGCCUGACCCAGCAACGCCGCGUGAAGGAUGAAGUAUUUCGGUAUGUAAACUUCGAAAGAAUAGGAAGAAUAAAUGACGGUACUAUUUAUAAGGUCCGGCUAACUACGUGCCAGCAGCCGCGGUAAUACGUAGGGACCAAGCGUUGUUCGGAUUUACUGGGCGUAAAGGGCGCGUAGGCGGCAAUUCAAGUCAUCUGUGAAAUCUCCGGGCUUAACUCGGAACGGUCAGAUGAUACUGCUUUGCUAGAGUGCAGAAGGGGCAAUCGGAAUUCUUGGCGUAGCGGUGAAAUGCGUAGAUAUCAAGAGGAACACCUGAGGUGAAGACGGGUUGCUGGGCUGACACUGACGCUGAGGCGCGAAAGCCAGGGGAGCAAACGGGAUUAGAUACCCCCGUAGUCCCUGAGCGGGCUGGCAAGGCGCAU